rnacentral:hammerhead_ribozyme from 1 species
AUCCGGCUGAUGAGUCCCAAUUAGGAUGAAACGUGCGUCCUGGAU